UUUGAUCCUGGCUCAGAACGAACGCUGGCGGCAGGCCUAACACAUGCAAGUCGAGCGCUACCUUCGGGUGGAGCGGCGGACGGGUUAGUAACGCGUGGGAACAUACCCUUUUCUACGGAAUAGCCUCGGGAAACUGAGAGUAAUACCGUAUAAGCCCUUCGGGGGAAAGAUUUAUCGGGAAAGGAUUGGCCCGCGUUAGAUUAGAUAGUUGGUGGGGUAAUGGCCUACCAAGUCUACGAUCUAUAGCUGGUUUUAGAGGAUGAUCAGCAACACUGGGACUGAGACACGGCCCAGACUCCUACGGGAGGCAGCAGUGGGGAAUCUUAGACAAUGGGCGCAAGCCUGAUCUAGCCAUGCCGCGUGUGUGAUGAAGGUCUUAGGAUCGUAAAGCACUUUCGCUAGGGAUGAUAAUGACAGUACCUAGUAAAGAAACCCCGGCUAACUCCGUGCCAGCAGCCGCGGUAAUAAGGG
rnacentral:rRNA from 1 species